GUGGAUUAGAUACCCUAGUAGUCCACACUGUAAACGAUGAACCCUAGGUGUGGGCGGGAAGACCGUCCGUGCCGAAGCCAACGCGUUAAGGGUUCCGCCUGGGGACUAUGAGCGCAAGCUUAAAACUCAAAGGAAUUGACGGGGGCCCGCACAAGCAGCGGAGCGUGCGGUUCAAUUCGAUGCGACACGCAGAACCUUACCAGGGUUUGACAUGGUUGUGGUAGUGAAGCGAAAGCGGAACGACCCGCAAGGGAGCAAUCACAGGUGAUGCACGGCUGUCGACAACU
rnacentral:rRNA from 1 species